UUCGGCCUGGUUAUUCAUAACCCUUUGUUGUCCGACUCUGUUGCCUCCGGGGCGACCCUGCCUUCGGGCGGGGGCUCCGGGUGGACACUUCAAACUCUUGCGUAACUUUGCAGUCUGAGUAAACUUAAUUAAUAAAUUAAAACUUUUAACAACGGAUCUCUUGGUUCUGGCAUCGAUGAAGAACGCAGCGAAAUGCGAUAAGUAAUGUGAAUUGCAGAAUUCAGUGAAUCAUCGAAUCUUUGAACGCACAUUGCGCCCCCUGGUAUUCCGGGGGGCAUGCCUGUUCGAGCGUCAUUUCACCACUCAAGCCUCGCUUGGUAUUGGGCAACGCGGUCCGCCGCGUGCCUCAAAUCGUCCGGCUGGGUCUUCUGUCCCCUAAGCGUUGUGGAAACUAUUCGCUAAAGGGUGUUCGGGAGGCUACGCCGUAAAACAACCCCAUUUCUAAGGUUGACCUCGGAUCAGGUAGGGAUACCCGCUGAACUUAAGCAUAUCAAUAAGCGGAGGA
rnacentral:rRNA from 1 species